rnacentral:lncRNA from 1 species
CAUUUGUACAAACCUCCCUCACAAUAUUUUUUUUUACUUUCUCCAACCGAGGACUUGAACUUAUAACAACAAAAAGAUUGGACCUUGGCUUUUAAUUCAUUUUUCUCAUAUUAAACACACACCAUGUAGUAUAUGAACUUUUUCCAUUUUCAUAAUUUGAAUUUUUUAUUUUCUUUUUGAAAUCAAAUUGCUCCCAAAUAAUAACUGAACUUCUUUGUGGAUUGAGAGAAUUAUUUUAAAACGCAAAAAAAAUCUUUUUUGUGUUUUCGAACAUGGAAAUACAAGGUGAACCUCUCUCUCAAGAAUUUUUGAACUUCCCCGGAAAGAGCACCUGAACUUAUUUCAACAAACCUUUUAAGCUUUUAUUUUUCUAUACUUUUUAUUCUCACCUGAAAUGCAUUCCUUGUAGUACUUGAACUUCUUGUUGUUUUCACGAUGAAUUUCUGUCGCAUUUUCGUGUAUACGUCGAAAUACACGCAAUUGAAGGUUAGACGUCAUUUUUUGCCAUAUUAAAACAUAUAAUUGGAGGUCGGACGUCCCGCAAUAUAAAUUCUAAACCGUGCACGGAGGUGCACGUGAACUUCUUGCAACAAAUUCGAGUUUUUUUAUAUACAUCGAACUUCUCUGUUAUUUUAAUUUCAACUUCUUAGUCAUAUUCUUAGAAAGGAAAUAUGUUUCAAAUAAGCAUCAAACAUUUUUUUUAAUUGAACCUCAUACUUUUAUUUUUCCUAGAAAUGGAAAGAAUUUGAGUUUUCCGUAAACAUCAAACUACUCCUUUUAUUUUAAUUUGAACAUCUUUAAUUUUAUUCUUUAGUAACGAAAGAGAACCUGUUUUUUUUUAUAAAUAUCGAACUUCUCUAUUUUUACAAUUUGGACUUCUUGGUUUAUUUGAAAUACUUUCUUUUUCCAUUUUUCUGAAACAGUAAAAUAAUGUUCUUUUUAUGAAAAAAAAACAUCAAAUUCAUGUGCUAUGUUAAUUUGAACUUCUUGCUUUUCUUUAGAUACAAAAAUUUCUUAUUUUUUAUAAACUUCGACCUCCUAUGUAUCUUAAAUUUGAACUUCUUGGUUUAGUUUCAGAGACGGAAAAAAUUGUCUACUAUUUUGUCUUUUAACUUAUAUGCUUUCUGGGGUUGUGUGAACUUCUACAGUUUAUUUUUGUGCAAAGUUACACACACACACACACAUAAUAGAACACACACCCACACACUGAUGCUCACAUGUUGUAAUUUUGUUUUGAAGUGAAUUUUCUAGACUUAAAUUUUGUUUGUGCUCUUUUAAAUUUAUUUGUCACUUCAAGUUCUAAAAAAUCGCAAAUCUCCCAUGUUUUUCCUUGCAUGUUUAAAUAGUUUGAACUUGUUGAGAUACACAUAAUACACUUGACCUUCUCGAACACAACAGUUUGACCUUCACAAAUAAAAAUUUAAACCAUUAUCGGCGACCACAACAAAACAUUGAACUUUUUCAUCUUUUAUAUUUGAACCUCUAGGCUUUUCUAGAAAUGGGAGUGAGUGACCACAACAAAAUAAACUGUAUCUAUGUACUGCUACCUGAUGAAUGAUUUUUUAUUCCAUAUGCAUCUUCUAGGCAGGAUGUGUUCUCCCUCAAAAACAAUGUCUUUCGAACUUUCUGGGUGGAACUCGUUGAACUUCUAGAUUAUCAAAAAAGCAUUCCCUUUUUAGUUCUCAAUCAAUAUGGUUUUUUUAGGAAAGGUACUUCGCAUACGAAUAAAAAAUUAUCUACACUGGGACAAAAUGGCCUUAGUCCAGGAACAAAACAUUACUUCACAUAGGAACACAAAUUUAUUCACAUAGGGGAACAAAUGUCGUUACACUUUCUGCUUUUGCCAGGAAAUAGAUGAACUACGAAGAAGCCUAUCUCUCUCACUUGAGUAAAUGGUUCGUACAAAAUGUUCUAGUGUGAUCUAUCUAAAUAACAACAGAAGGAACAAAUUUCACACUGCGCCCAUGUACACUUUUGAAGAUGAGUUGCACUAGCAUUAAUCAAGUUGGCCUGCUGAAAAUCAGACACAGUGGACUGCAACCAUCUUAAUUACUGCUGAAGAUUGUCAGCCAUACAAAUUACUACAGAAACUGGUUAAGAACAGUCGACCGUGUGCAGCCAUACUAAUUUAUCUUGUGGAAUAGACAUAGGCAGCUUAGAGGCAUACUUUUGUUCUUACUGAUGACCUACAGAGCAUGUAGGGAAAGAUAUAGGGGAAGGAUUAAUCAAUAUUGAGCUUGAGCGACCAUCUCAACAAUAAAUCCAAAAGUGGCAGCAGCAUAUAUCUCGCUACACUGCACCUCAAGGGAGAUCAAAUCCCCAUGUUGAAUAGCAUCCCAGCAACAGCAAGAUCACUCACCCAUUCAAAGACCGACUAUCUUUCCUCGUGAAUGGCGACAAGCACCAGGAUCAACACCUACAGGAAAGAGGUAGAUGUUCAUAGGCAUAACAACAAGUUCAGCUUCAUAGCUCAACCCAUGGACCGCUAUUUGAAAUCAAGACAAUUGUGUUUAUGGCUUCAAAGAUAUCUUCAAGCAAGACCAUUGAAAUGGAAGUGAACCAAGUAGUAGUAACGCUCCAACACCCCACCAACACCAAACAAUUCCUAACCUAUUUAGUACUGACCCAAAACCUAUUUUGUAUUUUUUUUCUAUUCAUUAUUUAUCAGUAAGAUGAAUUCUUACCAAAAUCCAAUGAUUGACCUCUCUGGACUAUAAUCUUUGAACUUCCACAUUACUUUAAAAAAUACAUGCUUCUUUAGGUCCAUGUAAACGGAGAAGUUCACAGUUACUGUUUGCUGGUAUUGCAUAAAAUUCUGUUUUUUAGAGUGCACACUUAUAAGACGUGGACCAUCAGACAAAAAAUGCCAAUGGUAGUGGCGGCUUGAAAUACAACAAGAAACAAACAGGGGGGAAUAUACAUGAGAUAUCUUUUUUAACAUGUUCAGUACAUGGAGAUCCUAGUGUACAUAAAUCAUUUUAGUCAGAUAGCAACUCGCGACAUGUGGCCACAUACAUAGGCUGAAUGCAUGCCACCUUGGUAGCCACAUACAUAGGCAAGUUGAAGCUGAAGUAGCUAACAAAUUUUUGAACAAAAAAAGUUAUAGAGGGGAUUGCUCUCACAAUAAGUCUCCCUUUACAGGAUUCAACAGAAGUUGAACUUGAUGGUGUGCAGCAGGAUCCGGGGUGUUGUGUUCACGAACGGUCGGCAUCUCCAUCGUUGCACAGCCCGGCACUGCAUACUGGAACGGACCAGGGCUGCUUUGGGAGGACUCGGGUGCUGCUGCAGAUCGGAUCAGGGUGAGGGUGCUCUCCACUGCCCUAAAGAAAAUGCUCUGUAGGAAAAAACACACACGCAAGAACCUUUGGAUAUAAGUGCGCGACGGAUUUAGGAGCUACAGGAUCAGUAGAAAUUGAACUGCGGAGUGCAUAGGAGUCGACCUUCACUCCAACGCUCAGGAGGUGUCGAGCGUGAAGGAGGUUGCCCGCGACGCGCGACCAUGGCGCGCAGCCAGCUGCAGGUUGUGGCCUCCUCCAUCUAAAGUUCGACGCCUCCUCGAUCUGCAGGAUAGCACCCCAUCCGCCCGCGUGCUAGUGGUCGCCGGAGAGUGGAGGGUGGUGAAGGAUCCUCGCCGGAUCGGGCGACCCCGAGGUGCUCCGGCAGGUGGUGUGGCGCGUCAUCGGCUGGGGUCGACGCUGUGGUGGCGUCACUGGUGGGGGUGGGGCUGUGGCGGCAACGCCGGCAGGGGCGUGGAUGCGGCUGCGUGGCGGUGGCGGCAACACCGGAUGGGGUCUGGGCGGCGGGAUGGGUGCUCCCACGGUGUCGACGGGGAGGAAGCAGGAGAUCGGUCAAAGGGAAGGGAGGGCAUGGAGGCGCCCGGCUUGCCGGCGGGGCGGGAGUGGGAGCGGGCGGGGCGGCGACGCCGGGUGGAGGCAGGGUCAGGGGAAGGUGGGCGUCGCUGGGACUGGGAAGAUCGGGAGGUUGGGGAUCGGGCGAGGUGAUGGACGAGGGUGCGUGGAGUGGGCUUUUUUUUCUUCGUGGGUUUCGGG